rnacentral:tRNA from 1 species
GCGCGUGUAGCUCAGGGGUAGAGCGUCCCGUUCACAUCGGGAAGGUCCUUGGUCCAAAUCCAAGCACGCGCA